AGCAGCCGCGGUAAUUCCAGCUCCAAUAGCGUAUAUUAAAGUUGUUGCAGUUAAAAGCUCGUAGUUGAAUUUCGGGGUUAGUAGGUUGGUCAUGCCUCUGGUAUGUACUGGUCUCACUGAUUCCUCCUUCCUGAUGAGCCGUAAUGCCACUAAUUUGGUGUUGCGGGAAUCUG
rnacentral:misc_RNA from 1 species